GCAAGUCGAGCGGACAGAUGGGAGCUUGCUCCCUGAUGUUAGCGGCGGACGGGCGAGAAACACGUGGGUAACCUGCCUGUAAGACUGGGAUAACUCCGGGAAACCGGGGCUAAUACCGGAUGCUUGUUUGAACCGCAUGGUUCAAACAUAAAAGGUGGCUUCGGCUACCACUUACAGAUGGACCCGCGGCGCAUUAGCUAGUUGGUGAGGUAAUGGCUCACCAAGGCGACGAUGCGUAGCCGACCUGAGAGGGUGAUCGGCCACACUGGGACUGAGACACGGCCCAGACUCCUACGGGAGGCAGCAGUAGGGAAUCUUCCGCAAUGGACGAAAGUCUGACGGAGCAACGCCGCGUGAGUGAUGAAGGUUUUCGGAUCGUAAAGCUCUGUUGUUAGGGAAGAACAAGUACCGUUCGAAUAGGGCGGUACCUUGACGGUACCUAACCAGAAAGCCACGGCUAACUACGUGCCAGCAGCCGCGGUAAUACGUAGGUGGCAAGCGUUGUCCGGAAUUAUUGGGCGUAAAGGGCUCGCAGGCGGUUCCUUAAGUCUGAUGUGAAAGCCCCCGGCUCAACCGGGGAGGGUCAUUGGAAACUGGGGAACUUGAGUGCAGAAGAGGAGAGUGGAAUUCCACGUGUAGCGGUGAAAUGCGUAGAGAUGUGGAGGAACACCAGUGGCGAAGGCGACUCUCUGGUCUGUAACUGACGCUGAGGAGCG
rnacentral:rRNA from 1 species